rnacentral:tRNA from 1 species
UUAAUAGAAGCCAAAAAAGAGGCUAUUCAUUGUUAAUGAAAAAAUUGGUGUUUACCCUAUUAAG